CCUAAUACAUGGCAAGUCGAGCGGACCGACGGGAGCUUGCUCCCUGAUGUUAGCGGCGGACGGGUGAGUAACACGUGGGUAACCUGCCUGUAAGACUGGGAUAACUCCGGGAAACCGGGGCUAAUACCGGAUGCUUGAUUGAACCGCAUGGUUCAAUUAUAAAAGGUGGCUUCUACCUACCACUUACAAAUGAACCCCCGGCCCAUUACCUAUUUGGUGAGGUACCGGUUCACCAAGGCAACAAUCCGUACCCAACCUGAAAGGGUGAUCGGCCACACUGGAACUGAAACACGGCCCAAACUCCUACGGAAGGCAGCAUUAGGAAAUCUUCCGCAAUGAACAAAAGUCUGACGAACCACCGCCCCGUGAGUGAUGAAGGUUUUCGAAUCGUAAAACUCUUUUGUUAGGAAAAAACAAGUACCGUUCAAAUAGGGCGGAACCUUGACGGUACCUAACCAAAAAGCCACGGCUAACUACUUGCCACCACCCGCGGUAAUACGUAGGUGGCAAGCGUUGUCCGAAAUUAUUGGGCGUAAAGCGCGCGCAGGCGGUUUCUUAAUUCUGAUGUGAAACCCCCCGGUUCAACCGGGAAGGGUCAUUGAAAACUGGGAAACUUGAUUGCAAAAAAGAAAAGUGAAAUUCCACGUGUACCGGUAAAAUGCGUAAAAAUGUGAAGGAACACCAUUGGCAAAGGCAACUCUCUGGCCUGUAACUGACGCUAAGGCGCGAAAGCGUGGGAAGCGAACAGGAUUAAAUACCCUGGUAGUCCACGCCGUAAACAAUAAGUGCUAAGUGUUAAAGGGUUUCCGCCCUUUAUUGCUGCACCAAACGCAUUAACCACUCCGCCUGGGGAGUACGGUCGCAAAACUGAAACUCAAAGGAAUUGACGGGGGCCCGCACAACCGGUGGAGCAUGUGGUUUAAUUCAAAGCAACGCGAAAAACCUUACCAGGUCUUGACAUCCUCUGACAACCCUAAAAAUAGGGCUUCCCCUUCGGGGGCAAAAUGACAGGUGGUGCAUGGUUGUCGUCAGCUCGGGCCGGGAAAUGUUGGGUUAAGUCCCGCAACGAGCGCACCCUUGAUCUUAGUUGCCAGCAUUCAGUGGGCACUCUAAGGGGACUGCCGGUGACAACCGGAGGAAGGUGGGGAUGACUUCAAUCAUCAUGCCCCUUAGAACUGGGCUACCCCUGGCUAAAUGGGCAAAACAAGGGCACCAAACCCGAAGGUUAACCAAUCCCAAAAUCGUUUCAAAUCCGAUCCGACCUGGAACUCCAAUGGGGGAACUGGAAUC
rnacentral:rRNA from 1 species